rnacentral:rRNA from 1 species
CCUACGGGAGGCAGCAGUGGGGAAUUUUGGACAAUGGGCGAAAGCCUGAUCCAGCAAUGCCGCGUGUGGGAAGAAGGCCUUCGGGUUGUAAACCACUUUUGUACGGAACGAAACGGUUCGCUUUAAUACAGUGGGCUAAUGACGGUACCGUAAGAAUAAGCACCGGCUAACUACGUGCCAGCAGCCGCGGUAAUACGUAGGGUGCGAGCGUUAAUCGGAAUUACUGGGCGUAAAGCGUGCGCAGGCGGUCAUAUAAGACAGUUGUGAAAUCCCCGGGCUCAACCUGGGAAUUGCAUCUGUGACUGUAUAGCUAGAGUACGGUAGAGGGGGAUGGAAUUCCGCGUGUAGCAGUGAAAUGCGUAGAUAUGCGGAGGAACACCGAUGGCGAAGGCAAUCCCCUGGACCUGUACUGACGCUCAUGCACGAAAGCGUGGGGAGCAAACAGGAUUAGAUACCCUGGUAGUCCACGCCCUAAACGAUGUCAACUGGUUGUUGGGUUGCAUUAGUACUCAGUAACGAAGCUAACGCGUGAAGUUGACCGCCUGGGGAGUACGGCCGCAAGGUUGAACGUUAAAUGUGACGG